CGGAGGGGGAAUCCCGCUCGACCAAGAGCGCCGAGCGCAUCGAAUAAAACUCGGAGCCUGCUGAGCGCGGGAGCUGGCACUUAUUUAUUGAGAAUUUGCUAUGUCCCAGCCUUGCCCUAGAAGCUUACAAACAUUAUUUCACUUAAUCCUCACUGUAUUCCUGUCGCAUUUUGCAGAAGAGAACCAGGCUGAGAGAAGUUAAGUGACGUGCCCAAGGAUACACAGCUCUCUGCAUGUGACACGCUGACUCCCCUUCUGCCAUGAUUGUAAGUUUCGUCACUAGAAGCAGAUGCCGACACUAUGCUUCAUGUACAGCCUGCAGAACUGUGAGCCAAGUAAACCCCUCUUAUUUAUAAAUUACCCAGUCUCAAGUAUUCCUUUAUACAAUGCAAAUGAACUAGUACAUGCAGCUUCAGGGAAGAGGGGGCCUUUGAGCUGGUCCUUGUCUGUGGGUUGGAAUGUGGUGGGGUAGGAUGGGAGGACAUUCCUGAUGGGAGAAACUGGGUGAAAGGAGGUAAGGAGGGUCAGUACUGCCUUGUGUCUUUGGAAUGACAAGCAGUGGCAUUUUCUGGUAUGUGGCGUCAGUUCCUGAGAGUUCUCAGGGAAGGUUGGGAACAUGCUGAGGGUUUGUACUUAACCUGGAAGGACCUGGGCCAGCCCCUACCUUCUCCUCCAGAACUGCUGCCUCUCCC
rnacentral:lncRNA from 1 species